rnacentral:rRNA from 1 species
GUUCACCUACGGGAGGCAGCAGUGGGGAAUAUUGGGCAAUGGACGCAAGUCUGACCCAGCAACGCCGCGUGAAGGAAGAAGGCUCUCGGGUUGUAAACUUCUUUUAAGGGGGAAGAGCAGAAGACGGUACCCCUUGAAUAAGCCACGGCUAACUACGUGCCAGCAGCCGCGGUAAUACGUAGGUGGCAAGCGUUGUCCGGAUUUACUGGGUGUAAAGGGCGUGCAGCCGGAGAGACAAGUCAGAUGUGAAAUCAGCAGGCUCAACCUGCGAACUGCAUUUGAAACUGUUUCCCUUGAGUAUCGGG